AUACUGGCAAAUUAUGGUAGAUGCCAUUACUGGUUGUGAUCAAGGGUUUAAAUCCCCUAAUGGUAGAUGACAAAUGGUUUGAAUCAAAAGGUGGCUGAUUUUAAAGACAAAACUGUCGAGCAGCAUGAGAUAUGGAGGAAGGGUUGCAUCAUCAUGACUGAUGGUUGGACCGACAGAAGAAAUAGAGCACCGUUGAAUUUUCUUGUCUCCUCAUUAGAUAGCAGAGUGUUCUUGAAGUCAAUCAAUGCUUCAGGGAAUAUAAAAAAUGUUGAAUAUCUUUGUGGGGUGUCGAAGGAAGUGUUGGAGGAUGUGGGUGAGGAGAAUGUGGUGCAAAUAGUGACUGAUAAUGCAGGAAUUACCUGAUUUGCAACAAAUUUUAUCACACUGCAAUUGCUGCUUCAAUCCAAGGGCGGAUCGAAACGCGUUUUUGUAAGUGAGGAGCGGACGGCAUCAUCAUAUGCAACGACCACUGCAGGGAUUGAGACAGCUGAUCAGGUUUUUGAAGAGCAUAGCUUUUGGCAACUGGCCAAGGAGAUUGUGCAGUUCAUAGAGCCUCUUGUUGUUCUCCUUUGAGUUGUUGAUGGAGAGAAGCUCACAAUGGGCUACAUUUAUGAGGGCAUGGACAAGGUGAAGAAGGCCAUUAGAGCCAUUUAUUCAAGGAAUCAAGUUAAGUAUGGUCCCAUAUGGGAGGUCAUUGAUCAACGAUGGCACAAUCUGCUUCACAGGCCUAUACAUGCAGUUGCCUACUACCUUAAUCUGGUGUUCCAAUUUCGCCCAAAUUUCAAGGCCGAUGAUGAGGUGUGGAGUGGGCUUUAUGAAGUUGUAGAGUGAAUGUCACCUGAUUCAUUAGUUGGAGCACACAUAGUCCGUGAGAUAGAGAUGUUUAGGAAUGCACAAUGAGACAUAUGCAAGCAUAACCGGA